rnacentral:rRNA from 1 species
AGGAAAAGCCUCUAAGCAUCAGGUAACACGAAAUCGUACCCCAAACCGACACAGGUGGUCAGGUAGAGAAUACCAAGGCGCUUGAGAGAACUCGGGUGAAGGAACUAGGCAAAAUGGUGCCGUAACUUCGGGAGAAGGCACGCUGAUAUGUAGGUGAAGUGAUUUACUCAUGGAGCUGAAAUCAGUCGAAGAUACCAGCUGGCUGCAACUGUUUAUUAAAAACACAGCACUGUGCAAACACGAAAGUGGACGUAUACGGUGUGACGCCUGCCCGGUGCCGGAAGGUUAAUUGAUGGGGUUAUCCGUAAGGAGAAGCUCUUGAUCGAAGCCCCGGUAAACGGCGGCCGUAACUAUAACGGUCCUAAGGUAGCGAAAUUCCUUGUCGGGUAAGUUCCGACCUGCACGAAUGGCGUAAUGAUGGCCAGGCUGUCUCCACCCGAGACUCAGUGAAAUUGAACUCGCUGUGAAGAUGCAGUGUACCCGCGGCAAGACGGAAAGACCCCGUGAACCUUUACUAUAGCUUGACACUGAACACUGGUCCUUGAUGUGUAGGAUAGGUGGGAGGCUUUGAAGUGUGGACGCCAGUCUGCAUGGAGCCAUCCUUGAAAUACCACCCUUUAAUGGCUGGUGUUCUAACGUGGACCCGUAAUCCGGGUUGCGGACAGUGUCUGGUGGGUAGUUUGACUGGGGCGGUCUCCUCCUAAAGAGUAACGGAGGAGCACGAAGGUUAGCUAAUCCUGGUCGGACAUCAGGAGGUUAGUGCAAAGGCAUAAGCUAGCUUGACUGCGAGAGUGACGGCUCGAGCAGGUGCGAAAGCAGGUCUUAGUGAUCCGGUGGUUCUGAAUGGAAGGGCCAUCGCUCAACGGAUAAAAGGUACUCCGGGGAUAACAGGCUGAUACCGCCCAAGAGUUCAUAUCGACGGCGGUGUUUGGCACCUCGAUGUCGGCUCAUCACAUCCUGGGGCUGAAGUAGGUCCCAAGGGUAUGGCUGUUCGCCAUUUAAAGUGGUACGCGAGCUGGGUUUAGAACGUCGUGAGACAGUUCGGUCCCUAUCUGCCGUGGGCGCUGGAGAAUUGAGGGGGGCUGCUCCUAGUACGAGAGGACCGGAGUGGACGCAUCACUGGUGUUCGGGUUGUCAUGCCAAUGGCAUUGCCCGGUAGCUAAAUGCGGAAGAGAUAAGUGCUGAAAGCAUCUAAGCACGAAACUUGCCCCGAGAUGAGUUCUCCCUGAGACUUUAAGUCUCCUGAAGGAACGUUGAAGACGACGACGUUGAUAGGUCGGGUGUGUAAGCGUAGCGAUACGUUGAGCUAACCGAUACUAAUGAACCGUGAGGCUUAACCUUACAACGCCGAAG